rnacentral:rRNA from 1 species
AUUGAACGCUGGCGGCAGGCCUAACACAUGCAAGUCGAGCGGAUGCAGGGAGCUUGCUCCUGGAUUCAGCGGCGGACGGGUGAGUAAUGCCUAGGAAUCUGCCUGGUAGCGGGGGAUAACGUCCGGAAACGGGCGCUAAUACCGCAUACGUCCUGAGGGAGAAAGUGGGGGAUCUUCGGACCUCACGCUAUCAGAUGAGCCUAGGUCGGAUUAGCUAGUUGGUGGGGUAAAGGCCUACCAAGGCGACGAUCCGUAACUGGUCUGAGAGGAUGAUCAGUCACACUGGAACUGAGACACGGUCCAGACUCCUACGGGAGGCAGCAGUGGGGAAUAUUGGACAAUGGGCGAAAGCCUGAUCCAGCCAUGCCGCGUGUGUGAAGAAGGUCUUCGGAUUGUAAAGCACUUUAAGUUGGGAGGAAGGGCAGUAAGUUAAUACCUUGCUGUUUUGACGUUACCAACAGAAUAAGCACCGGCUAACUUCGUG